UGCACCCAUUCAUUAAUAGAAAAGUAUAAAUAUCUGAACAUUGGAUCAACAAAAAGAUCAACCAAGAUAUAAUCUAUCAUCAUGAUGCAUGAGGAACCCGCAUAGGUGGAAAUGGAAUGCCUUCACAUUAUCUUGCAUAGCAGAAAUGCCAAUUCCAAAACAACAUGACAAUCUACGCGCCAUCAAUCAUAGACUCAUCAAUACAAUGAUCAAAUGCAACCAACACCCUGAGCCGCUGGUGGACAUAUGUUGAAGUGAGUCUGUGCAAAUGCACUCUCUCACUUUGAGAAAACUACAAGUGUAUAUAUUUAGAGUUUUUGUAUUUUGCUCCCCUAUUUUUAUAUAUACGAAUUCAUUGUCUCCAAUUUCUUUC